UGGGCUACCAUACCAUCCUCCAAGGGAAUCUUUCCAACCCAGGGAUUGAACCACGUCUCUUAUGUCUUCUGCAUUGGCAGGUGGGUUCUUUACUACUAGCACCACCUUUUUUUUAUUUCCAGACUGUCAGUUUUGUUCACUGGAUUUAUAUGUUUCGUUAUGCCAGUUCUAUACUGUUUUGAUUCUCUAGCUUUGUGGCAAGUUUUGAAGUUAAAAUGUGUUAAUCCUACGAUUUGUUUAUUUUUGUCAAGGUUGUUUUGGUUAUUUGAGGUUCCUUUCAUUUCCAUGUGAAUUUAAAGAUCAUGUCCAUUUCUGCAAAAAAAAGACCAGUGGAUUUUUCAUCAAAUAUGUGAAACCCUUUUGUCUCUUUUCUUGACGUAUUUUGAUCUUGACCAUAUUAAGUAUUUUAUCCAAUGAACAGGGAAUGUCCUUCCAUUUAUUUAGGUCUUUAAUUUCUUUCAACAAAGUUUUGUAAUUUUCAGUGAAUACAAGUCUUGUACCUCAUUCAUUAACUCUGUUCUGAAGUAUUUUAUUCUUUUUGAUGCUAUCAUAAGUAGAGUUGUUUUCUUAAUAUACUUUUGGAUUGUUCAUUGUCCGUGUAUAGUAAAACAACAGAGUUUUUUUGUGUUAAUCUUAUGUUCUACAAUUUUAUUGAAUUUAUUAGCUCUAAUAGUUUUUUGAUGGAUUCUUUGGGAUUUUCUAUGUAUAAGAUUAUGUUCUACAGAUAGAGAUACUUUUACUUUACUCUUUCUAAUUUGGAUGCCUUUAUUUCUUUUUAUUGCCUGGUUUUCUUUAGCUGAAACUUCUUUUACAGUGUUGAAUAGAAGUGCCCAAAGUGAAUAUUCUCAUCUUAUUCCUCACUUUAGUGGGAAAGCUUUCAGUCUUUUACCCUUAAAUAUUUUUAGCUGUGAGUUUUUCAUACAUGCCUUUUUAUCAUGUUGAGAAGUUCACUUCUGUUCCUAGUUUACUGAGUGAUUUUAUCCUGAAAAGGUUUUUGAUGUAGUCAAAUGCUUUUUCUGCUUGACUUGACCAAUUUGUGGGGAUUUUUCAUCUUUAUUUAGUAUAUUAAAUUGAUUUUCUCAUGUUGAACUGCUCUUGCCUUCCAGGUGUAAAUUCUACUUCAUCGUGAUUCAUGAUUGAUUGAUUGCUGCAGCAUAUGGCUUGUGGAAUCUUGGUUCCCUUACCAGGGAUUGAAUCUGUGCCUCCUGCAGUGGAAGUACAGAGUCCUAACUACUGGACUGCCAGCGAAUUCCCCAUGACCCUUUUAAUAUGUUUUUUGGGCUCAAUCUUACAGUAUUCUGUUGAGUAUAUUACAUAUAUAUUCAUAAGGCAUAUUGACCUGUAAUUUCAUUUCUUUGUGAUUCCUUUAUUUGGCUUAAAUAUUAGGGUAAUUAACACUGGCCUCAUUGAAUUAAGAAAUACAGUUUACUCUUGAACUACAUAGGUUUAAACUCGUAGGUGCACUUGUAGAUUUUUUUUUAAGUACUAAAUAUUACAGUACUGCACAAUCCAUGGUUGGUUGAGUCCACAGGUGCAGAAGCAGAUAAGGAGGGCCAGCUCUAAAGUUAUACUCAGAUUUUCAACUGCACUGAGUUCAUCACCCCUAACCCCUGUGUUUUUUUGGGGUCAACUAUAUUUCUUCCACUUAUUUUUGGAAGAGUUUGGGAAGAAUUAGUGUUACUCUUCUUUAAAUGUUUGCUAAAAUUCACCAGUGAAGUUAUCUGGUUCUGGACUUUCCUUUGUUUGAGAGAUAUUUGAUUACUGAUUUGAUCUCUUUGCUUGCUAUUCACUUUUUGUAUUUCUUCCUGAGUCAAUUGGUUAUUUCUGUGUUUCUAGGAAUUUAUUCAUUUAAUCUAAGUUUCUAAUUUUUUGACAUGUAAUUGUUUGUAGCAGUAUUGUCUUAUAACCCUUUUUAUUUCUGUUAGGUUAGUAAAAGUAUCUUCAUUUCUGAUUUUAAUAUUUUGAGUCUUUUCUCUUUUUUGUCAGUCUGGCUAAAGGUUUGUUAAUUUUGUUGAUUUAUUUUUAGAGAAGCAACUUUUGGCUUUGUUCAUUCUAUUUUUAUACUCCACUUUUUUGUCUCUCUAAUUUUUAUUAUGUCCUUCUUCUUGCCAGAGACAAGAAUAUAUAAUCCUAACUAUAUCACAGUAUCACUAGGAUAGAGACAAAUGGGGAGAACACUGUCUGAUGACAGAAGCAGAGAUUGGAGUAUUGCACCUUCAAUCCAAAGACUCUUACAUAUUGCUGGCUACCAUCAGAAGUGAGGGGAAGGCAUGGAUAAUAUCUGUCUAGAGUCACAGAGGGACUUUUAAAAAAUUUUAAUAUUUAAGAUUGGUCCAAAUUGCUUAAUACUUUAUUUAUUAUUGCCAUAUAAUGUUUUAUUAUGAGACCAUACCACAUUUUAGUUUUCCAUUUCUUUACUGAAAGACACUUGUCAUUUCCAUUUUUUCAUUGUCAUGUAUAAUAUAGGCAUACCUUGUUUUAUUGUGCUUUGCUUUAUUGCACCUAACAGAUGUUGCAUUAUUAUUAUUUUUUUAAAUAAAUUGACGGUUUAUGGUAACCCUGCAUUGAGUCUUUGGCACAUUGUUCCAAAAGCAUACACACUUCAUAUCAGGGUGUCAUAUUUUGGUAAUUUUCACAAUAUUUUGACUUUUUCAUUAUUAUUAUAUUUGUCAUGGUGAUCUGUGAUCAGUGAUCUUUGAUGUUAGUAUUGUAAUUGUUUUGGACCCCCACAAACCAUAUUCAUAUAAGAUUAACUUACAUAUUGUAUGUGUUCUGGCUGUUCUACCAACCAACUGUUUCCCAGUUUCUUUACCUUUCCUCAGGCCUUCAUAUUCUCUGAGACAAAAAAGUAUUGACAUCAGUCCAGUUAAUAACUCUACAGUGGCCUCUCAGUGUUCAAGUGAAAGUAAGAGUCAUAAAUCUCUCACUUUAAAUCAAAAGCUGGAAAUGAUUAAACUUAGUGAGGAAAGUAUGUUGAAAACCUAGACAGACCAAAAUCUAGGCCUCUUGCACCAAACUGUUAAUCAAGUUGUGAAUGCAAAAGAAAAGUACUUAAAGGAAAUUAAAAGUGCUACUCCAGUAAACACACACAUGAUAAGAAAGUGAAACAGUCUUAUUAUGAUAUGGAGAAAGUUUUAGUGGUUUGGAUAGAAAAUGAAACAAGCCACUAUAUUCCCUUAAGUGAAAGCCUAAUCCAGAGGAAGACCUAAUUUUCUUUUCUUCAAUUCCAUGAAGGCUGAAAGAGGUGAGGAAAACUUCAGAAAAAAUGUUUGAAGUUAGCAGAGACUGGUUCAUGAGGUUUAAGGAAAGAAGCUGUCUCCAUACCAUCAAAGUGCAAGGUGAAGCAGCAUGUCCUGAUGUAGAAACUGCAGUAAGUUAUCCAGGAGAUCUAGCUAAGGAAUCCUUAUCAUUUGAGGAUGUAACUGUGGGCUUCACUCAGGAGGAAUGGCAGAAGCUGGACCCUGCUCAGAGGACUCUGUACAGGGAUGUGAUCCUGGAGAACUAUAGUCACCUCAUCUCAGUGGGGUUUUGCAUGCCUAAACCAGAACUGAUCUUCAAGUUGGAAUGAGGAGAGCAGCUAUGGGUAUUAGAGACAGAGUUUCCAAGCCAGAUCUACCCAGGGCCUCACCUCAAGAUAAACUGUUAAACCAGAGCCUAACCUGAGAGAAGAGACUCAUCCCAGACUCCUCUAAACUUGCCAUCUCACCUAAGUGUGGCAGGGGAGAACAAAACUGAGCAACACUUAUUAAGAUGACGCCAUAGGCACACAUGCUCACUAAAAAGACUGAGACCUAAUCAUAGAACUAUAAACUCUUCCUCUCAUGUCUUAUCACCAUAUCAAUUAACUUCCUAUAGAAUACCAAGAAACUGAAAGAACUAAAAGCUAAAAGAAGCUAAAAUACCAACAGCUGAAAGAACUGCCAGCCUAAGAUCUUAUUUAAGGAGGAGUCUUUAAAGAAACAGAAGGACAAUGGAAGAGAGAGACAAAAAGACACUAGAGGGAAUUUUAGCCUCUGAUGCACAGCUAUAAUGAACAGUAAACAGAGCCUACCUCGUAGCCACAUAAAAUCAAACCUCACAUUAAAAGCUUAUUACAUCAGUUCCUUUAAUUGAAUACAUAAUUUAUUGCUUUUAAGCAAAAAAUUACAAAGCAUGCUAAAAGGAAAGAAAAAAGGUUCAAAAGGCAAAGCAUGUUUCAGAACAUGGUUCAGAUAUGGAAAAGAUUUUGGACAGAAAUUUAAAAUAAUUAUGAUUAAUAUAUUAAGAGCUCUGCUGGAAAAAGUGGACAGCAUGUAAUAACAGAAGGUUAAUGUAAGCAAAGGAAUGGAAACGAUAAUAAAGAAUAAAUGAGAAAUGCUAGAAAUCAAAAUCACUCAGUAAGAAUGAAGGCAGUGAGCAUAACAGGGAAAGAAUCUGUGAUCUCAGUGAUGUCAAUAGAAACUUGCCACACUGAAGAUUAGAAAAAGGAUAAUAAAAAGAAUAAAGGAACACAAUUUUCAAGAACUGUGGAACACUUACAAAAUAUUUAACACAUUUUAAUGGGAAUAUCAGAAGGAGAAGAAAGAGAAAGGAGCAGAAUAAAUAUAAAACCACAGAUCCAGGAAGCUCAGGGAACACCAAGUAGGAUAAAUAUGGGGGGAAAAGUCUACACAUAGGUAUCUCAUAUUCAAACUACAGAAAAAUAAAAGGUAAAGAAGAAAUCUUGAACAAAGCUAGAGAAAAAUAUAUCAUAGCUACAGUGGAGUAGGGAUAAAGAUUACAUUGUUCUUCUCUUCAAAAACUAUGCAUGUGAGAGUGGAGCAAAAUAUUUAAAGAUUUAAAUAUUUAAAAAUCUAGAUUUCUAUAUCCAGUGAAACUGUUCUUCAAAAGUAAAUAAGAAAUAAAAACUUUCUCAAGUAAACAAAAUUGAAAGAAUUAUUCACCAGUAAACCUUGUAAAACAGUUAAUAGGAUUCUUAAGAGAGAAGGAAAAUGAUAUUAGAAAGUUCUACCUGUGUAAGGAAAGGAAGAUAUGAGCAGGAAUUAUUAAAAGCCAAAUAAUGUCUUCCAUGUUUCUUAUUCUUAAUUAAUCUAACAAAUAACAAUUUGUUCAACUUAAUACUAGUAUCAGUAGUCUCAGUAAUUAUAGAUUUGUGUAAAUGAAAUGAAUGGCGGCAAUAUUAUAAAGGAUUGGAGAGAGGUAUUGGGAAUACUCUGUUAUAAGGUAGCUGCACCACCUGUGAAGUGAUACAAUGUUGUCUGAAAGUGGACUUGAAUUAGUUGUACGUGUAUAUUUCAAAUUCCAGGACAACGAGUAGAAAAAUUUUCAAGAAGUAUCUCAAGAGAUAGAGAACACAAGUCACAGAAUGGGAGAACAUAUUUGCAAAAGGCAUAUCUGAUAAAGGACUGUUAUCCAAAAUAUACAAAGAACUGUUAAAACUCAAGAAUAAGAAAUCAAGAAACCCUAUUUAAAAUGGGCAAAAGACCUGACUAGAUACCUCACUGAAGGAGACAUAAAGAUGGCAAAUAGCCAUGUGAAAAGACGCUCAACAAAUAUAUCAUAAGGGAAUUGUAAAUUCAAACUAUUCUCAAACUACACUGGACAUCUAUUAGAAUGGCCAUAAUUCAAAACAUUGACAACAAAUUCUGGCAAGCAUGUCAAGCAACAAGAACUCUUCUUUAUUACUGAAAGCUUUAGCUUAUCUUGGGAUCCUGGAAGAGCCCCCAAGAUGAUAGAUAAAAGUUUACAGUGUUCCAACAUAUUCAUUGCCUCUGAAGGAGAAGAUUUAACUCUGGGACCAAAGACAGUCUCAGUCACCAGAGCUUUGUGUAGUAUAAAUUUUGUUAAAGUGAUAAUGGCAGAAAAAAAACUUCUUACAUAGAUAUCAGAAGGGGGUAGAAAGAUUAUCUGCCUUGCUAGUUUUAAGCAGGAAAUUUUAUACUUUUCUGCCAGCUGCUGAGAAUAGAAAAAAAUAUCUCAAGGCUGUGAAAACUUUGCCCAGACCAUUUCCCGUAACAUACAUCCUGGGAUGACAUCAGCAGAAGGAAGGGUUAACCCAGAGCUCAAGGCUGUGGGCCCAGACCUUCUCCCAUAACACACAUUCUGACCUCAGAAAAGGUAUGUCCUUGAACACGACUUACUGCUGCCUGCAAGGCCUGUGUGUCUAAGGCAAAAGAAUGUGAGAAGGAAAGAUGUUCACCUCCUCCUAAAAGGGGCCUUAGGCUUGGAUACCUUACCGACGUGCCUAAGUUAACCCUCUCAUUACUAGUGGGACUCUAAUGUGGUACAACUUUGGAAGAUACUUUGGUAGUUUAUUACAAAGCUAAAUAUACUUCUUUUACUAUAAAAUCCAGCCAUUGUGAUCCUUAGUAUUUCCCCAAUGGUGCUUAAAAAUAUAUGCUUACUCAAAAACCAGCACACAGAUGUUUAUAAUAGCUUUAUUCAGUUUCCAAACCUUGGAAGCAACCAAAGUGUCCUUCAAUAAGAAAAACUUAAUAAAUAUCCAAACUCUGGUAUAUCCAGCCAGUGGAUUUCGUUCACUGCUUAAAAAAGGAGGGGAGGGUGCCAAGUCAUGAAAAGACAUGGAGGGACCUUAAAAGGAUAUUACUAAGUGAAAGAACCCGGUAGACUAAAUAUUGUGUGAUUCAACUGUAUAAGAUUCUGGAAAAUGCAAAAAUGUGGAAACCAUAGAAGAAUCAGUGGUUGCCACUGAUUGAAGCAGAAGGCUGAAUACAUGGAGUACAGAGGAUGUUUAGGGAAGUUAAACUAUUCUAUAUAAUGUAAUGGUGGAUAUAUUUUAUUAUACAUUUGUCAAAACCCUAGAAGGUACAACACCAGUAGUGAACCCUAAUAUAAACUGGACUUUGGUUAAUAAUGAUGUCUGUAAGAAUCGUAGCAAUUAUGCCACUCUGUGCAGAUGGAAGCUGGGAAUGUUGAUGGUGAGGGAGGCUGUAUAUAUGUAGA